rnacentral:rRNA from 1 species
AUUGAACGCUGGCGGCAUGCCUUACACAUGCAAGUCGAACGGCAGCACGGGAGCAAUCCUGGUGGCGAGUGGCGAACGGGUGAGUAAUAUAUCGGAACGUGCCCAGUCGUGGGGGAUAACGUAGCGAAAGCUACGCUAAUACCGCAUACGAUCUAUGGAUGAAAGGCGGGGGAUCGCAAGACCUCGCGCGAUUGGAGCGGCCGAUAUCAGAUUAGGUAGUUGGUGAGGUAAAGGCUCACCAAGCCGACGAUCUGUAGCUGGUCUGAGAGGACGACCAGCCACACUGGGACUGAGACACGGCCCAGACUCCUACGGGAGGCAGCAG